CUAUAUACAAGCACUCUCAGAGAACAAUGUUAAAAUCAUGCAUGUCCUCAUCCUGAUAUUCACACAUUUACAUUUAUUCUUUUAGCAGAUGCUUUUAUCCAAAGCAUCUAGAAUUGAAACACCAAGUAUAUCAAUCACUGAUUUCAAUCUAAUCCAUUACCACAAAUCAAGGUUACUGCUUUUAUGCAACUAAAUAAAUGGCAAAUGAAUUAUAUAUAAAAAAAAAAAAAAAAAAACAGCCUUUGUAAACCACACUGCUCUUUGUUUUGGGUUUAUGCAACUAAAUAAAUGGCAAAUGAAUUAUAUAUAAAAAAAAACAGCCUUUGUAAACCACACUGCUCUUUGUUUUGGGUCACAAUACAAACACAAACACAAAGGCUCUGUCGCCAUACCAGAUAUAUAGACAUCUGUAAUGCAUUUUAUAUUUAUAACAUGGCUUUGUGAGGUGAUUUUUAGAGAAGCUUGAUGAUUGCAUGACUCUUUUUGGCAAACCACUAAAAGUAAACCUUGAGAUUACAGAGAAUACAACAAUAAAAGCUUUCAGGUCUAUUUUAAACAUUCUUUUUUUUUUAUCCCAAAGGCAAAGAUAACUGAGUUAGUUUAAACAGAUGAGUUAGUAGAAACUGAUUCACAUUUUUAAACAUUCUUUUUUUUUUAUUCCCAAAGGCAAAGAUAACUGAGUUAGUUUAAACAGAUGAGUUAGUAGAAACUGAUUUCACAAUCAAUCUAGCGAAAGAAAAUAUAUUCAACAUGUCUGAUUUUUCUUUUUUUUUAUUAUAAAUGGCCACAAGGUGGAGCUAUUUCUACAGCAUUAAAGCAAUGAACUGUACACACUUGUCAUCAGCAGGCCUUUGUCUGAAAGCAAUUAUGAACUGAAUACAAUGUGCUUAUUGUUAUCAUUACCCACUUUAACUAUCAUUACCAAAAUACAAAUAAAGAUUGAUUCAUGAUUCUUCUUGAAACGUGUCACUAUAUCAGUGUAGAAUUGUGUGCCAAAUAUAUUUGACUGGUGUUUAAGUUCUCUUUCUCUCUGUCUGCACUAUCAGUUAUUGUACAGUGAGGUAAUUAUCUCACAGCAUUUGGUGUUUGAUUUGUCACCAGCACAUUUUAGAUUUAUCUGAGGUCAAACACAUCAGGGCUCGUGAUCUCAUUACACUGUCACAAAUAAACUAGACAAAUAUGACUGAAAAUACAAAUACAACAUAAUUUUACAUAUAUAUAUAUUGAUAAAUGCAGGGCACAAGACUCUGGCUUUCUCCGUCUUCUUUGAAGCUCCGAUUAAAUAACAAGAGAGAAAAUACUGUCAACAGUAUGAUGAAUAAAUAUUAAUGGUGACACUUUACAAUUAGAUGUCAUUUGUUAAUAUUAAUGUAUUUACUAACAUGAAUGAACAAUGAACAAUAGAUUUAUUACACAAUUUAUUAAUCUUUGUUCAUGUUAAUAAAAGUUCAUUGUUCAUGUUAGUUCACAGUGCAUUAAUGUUGACAAACACAACUCGUGAUUUUAAUAAUGCAUUAGUAAAUGCUGAAAAUUAACAUGAACUAAGAUUAAUUAAUGCUGUGGAAAUAUUGUUCAUUAUUACUUAUGUUACCUAUUUAUGUUAACUAAUGUAAUUAACUAAUGUUAACUAAUGAAACUUAUUGAAGAAUGACCGCAGAUGAGGCAUUAAGUGCAUGGCACUGCGACCAACUGAACAUUUUACAGAGUUUAGUGUAGAAAUGCGGUAGCUCAGUUUUUCAAGAUCAGUUUUAAUCGUGUAACUGUUAAUAGAUUUGAACAAAGAAAUAGUGUUACUACGCACAGCCCGUAAUGAUUGCAAAAACAAAAAUAAGAUGAGUAAAGAAAACGUGGUACUUAUUAAAAUAAUCACCCUUUACUUAAAUAUAUGAACACAGAAAACUGCUGUUAACAGGUUAAUAUAACGUUUCCCGUUCUAUGACUAGUAAAAUAAUGACAACUUACUCUGACGAACUCUCCUUAAGUAGCUGAGCACUGCGUCUUCUUCUUGUGUGACAGUGUCAGCGUUAACACACAAUACUGCCACCUGGGCGCUCAACCAGGUACAGGUGCUGGAGUAUUUACAUGUGGUGUUAUCAUAAGAGAACUGUUUAUUUUAAAUAUAGCUGUAUAUCGUUAGACACUAAAUGAACACGAUAUCGAUAAUAUCACGGUAUAUCAAUACAGGUAUAUCGCGACACCCCUAAUAUAUAUAUAUAUGGGAGGAAGUGAAACCUGAACAAUCAUUUUUCCUCUCACUAAGCAGCAAUUCCCCCCCCCCACCCCAGGCUUUCUCUAAUGUGAUAACACCUAUGCACUGCGAGAACUAUCAUAUCAGAGUUGCACAGCUAGGAGAGUGGAUCAUUAGUAAUCAGAGCUCUGCUGUGAUAACGGGACAGAUAAAGGGUAAAGGGAAAGUACACUGAUUGGAGAAAGUGGAAAAACACUCUGCUGUCGUUGCAUAGGUUUGCUCAGGCAGUACAGCAGCGACUGUGUGAAGAUGAUGUAACGAGUCUGCAGUAAAUCCCAGACCAGCAAGUCCCAUUAUAAAUCCCUGCAAACUUUUCACCUCAUAAAUUAGACUCAAGUUAAGUGGUUUGAUAUCUGCCCUCCUGCUUGCAGACUGUAAAAUUGUGUUUAGCAGCUGCAGGUCUGCCUGAAUAUCCAGCACCGCUAAGAGUUAGAUUCACAGAGUUCAGUUUACAACCUAAUGGAGAAUCUGCAAGACGUAUAUAUAUAUAAAAACUGGAUUUUUAUUUCAUACUGCUCUGAAGAAGCUUAUAUUGACAUUUACAUAAAAAAACAAAAGAUCCUUUACAGCGUUCACUUACCCUGAAGACAUUGUAUCGUCAACCUGACUUAAGUAAUUGCAAAUAAGUAACAAUUAAAACAACAAGCUUACACUAAUUAUUAUUCUAGGUUAAUAUUUACAUUUACAUUUAGUUAUUUAGCAGAUGCUUUUAUCCAAAGCGACUUAGAAAUGAGGACAAUGGAAGCAAUCAAAAACAACAAAAGAGCAAUGUUCUUAAUAUUCAUUUCUACAUGCAUUUGUGUCUUCUGCAUUGCAUAAAUUAACAUUAGACAGUGUAUUAUGAACAAGCAUCAUUUAAAAAUGUUUAUAUAAUAUGU
rnacentral:lncRNA from 1 species